GUUCGCGCCUGGGUGGCUGCGAGGACGUCGUCUGGGUUUCGGCCAAUGGCCAGCGCCCACGUCGGGGGAACGCCUCGUGACCGCGCGUCACCGGAGAAAAAGUUGGAAAGCCAGACUGUUGAAAUGAAGGAAGGAAGUCUACAGUUUCUUAUCGCCUUCUUAUCAUCAUGAGGAGCCCCAGAAUUGGAGCCAACUGGGAGGGAAGCAGAGCCAAUAGAUCACAAGCAAAAGACCAAGUCCUGAUGACAAACAUUUGUGCUCCUUGAUCAAGCACAUGAUGGCACCUUUUGAAAUAUCGAGAAAUACAUGUGUUGAACAUGAAUCUUGGACUGCGAUUGCUUCAAAGUCCUGGUGAAAAUCAGCAAAGUACAGCAGCAAGAUGGUAUGAAGACAUGGACUGACUUUACUUAUGAGUUCUGUGGCCUUCAGCCAGUCAUUUAUGCUUCUGGAGCCUCACUUGCUUCUCAGUGAAGCAGGGUUACAACUUCAGGACUAGGAGAACCUUCCUGGAGUGUAUAUCCAAAGGAAGACCUGUUAGCUGGGGAUGCAGGAGGAGAUUUAUGGAAGAGUGUCUUCCAGGUAGAGACAGACCUUGAGGUAAGAGUACAUCUGUCGGUCGCAGCUUCCAGAGUGAGAAGGAGAGCAGAGAACCAGGCUGGCAGGUGAGCAGGGAUCAGAGGUUUUCGAUCCUGGCUGCAUCUGAGCAUCAAUGAGAGAAUAAGUAAACAACAAGCAAGCAAAUCCAAAGCAAAGCUAUACCUAGGCCCCACCCCCAUUGUGAUUUAAUUGGCCUCUGUGUGGUGUAGUGGGGGUGGUCUUUGACCCUGGCCUCCCAACCCUCAUGGCAGGACACCAUCUCUGCCACCUGCCCAUCAGAUUCCCCCACACUGCAGCUCUCCCUUUGUCCAACAGCCCCUUGCGUGAUUGGGGCACGCAACUAGGAUCAGAAGCAGGGCGAGAGUUUGAAGAGCCUGGUAAUCUAGGCUAAAAAGUUUGAAUUUGCCUUAAGGGCAAGGAAGUGCCUUGUUGAAUAAAUGUGUAUGCCAUCAGCUACCAUUAAUAAUAAUGUUUAAACAGACUUCAGCAUGUUUAUCAAAGCCUGAGAUUUUUCUGGUAACCACCUGGGUAUAUAAAUGUUUUGUGUGAAGGGAUGGGGUACGAGGAAGCACAAAAAUAGAUAUGCUGUGGGAUGGGUUAUAAAUCUAAACUUCAGGACACUCAGAAGAUACAUUUCUAAAUAGGUGCAUGUAAAUGGAAAAUGUGGAAAGCAAAUCAUAAAACCACCUGGGGAGGUUGCUAUUAAAAGAAUCAGUGAAGUAAAACCUACUGAAAUGCUAACAAUAACUCCUGAUUUAUUUGUUCUGCAUUAUUUGGAUUUUCAUAUACAGUAUUGAGUUUUUUAAAAGAUGGUACACAAUGGAACAUUUGCCUGUUUACAUAAACACCAAAGUAUGUUUUAUUUCAUCAGAGGGGAACAAGUCAAGGCAUUUGGGAGUAAACAUGGAUUCAUUUCCAGACUUGAGUUUGAAGUUUUUUAUGGAUAUGAUUUUGAGAAAAUAACCUUUGAGAGACUUCAUUUCCUCAUCAGAAAAAUGAGAAUAACACACCCACCUUACAAGUUUGUGUAAAGGGUUACAGAUGGUAAAGCAAAUAAGACAUCUUGCAUAACACCUGGCGCAUGGUAGGUGCUCAAUAAAUGGUAACUCUUACUAACCUGCUUUCAAAAAGAGUGGAAGAGGCCUUCAGAAUACAUCUUAGAAUUCCUCCAACCUUUCUUAGGUUCUGUUUCCAAAGCAAAUAUUCUGGGCAAAAAAAAAAAAAAAAAAAAAAAA
rnacentral:lncRNA from 9 species